rnacentral:rRNA from 1 species
UACGUAGGGUGCAAGCGUUAAUCGGAAUUACUGGGCGUAAAGCGUGCGCAGGCGGUGAUGUAAGACAGAUGUGAAAUCCCAGGGCUCAACCUGGGAACUGCAUCUGUGACUGCAUCGCUGGAGUGCGGCAGAGGGGGAUGGAAUUCCGCGUGUAGCAGUGAAAUGCGUAGAUAUGCGGAGGAACACCGAUGGCGAAGGCAAUCCCCUGGGCCUGCACUGACGCUCAUGCACGAAAGCGUGGGGAGCAAACAGG